GCAGGGGAGUGUGGUACCGGCCCGUCCCGACCCCUCAGGCACAGCCCGGCUCGAACGACGGCAUGGAGAAGCUGCGGCGGGUGCUGACUGGGCAGGACGACGAGGAGCAGGGACUGACAGCUCAGGAUAAAGAGUCGGACCUAACAAGGUCCUUGAUGCCUCAACACUCAGCUUUGGUACUCGAGUGAGAUGGUUUGCCAUAUGUUUUGUUGCUGGCAUUGUGUGUUCUAUUCUUGGAACAGCAUUGCUAUGGCUCCCAAAUGGGAUCAAACUUUUUGCGUUGUUUUACACCCUGGGAAAUAUUGCUGCGUUAGCAAGUACAUGUUUCCUGAUGGGGCCACUGAAGCAACUGAAAGCAAUGUUUGAGCCAAAAAGAUUAAUAGCUACAAUUGUGAUGUUGCUUUUCCUAAUAUUGACUCUGUGCGCUGUAUUCUGGUGGAACAAAAAAGGUUUGGCGGUGUUAUUCUGCAUAUUGCAGUUCUUGGCAAUGACCUGGUAUAGUCUGUCAUAUAUUCCUUUUGCAAGGGAUGCUGUGAUUAAAUGCGUCUCGUCCUGUCUGGGGUAAAUUUAAAACAGGAACCACUGUACACUUUAAAAGCCAACUUUUAUUCCUCUGUGAAUUUUGCUUGGAAAACUAUACUUUUCCACUCAUAAAAUACCCAGUAACAACUUAGUAUUUUCCUUGCCUUUUGCAUUGGGUGAUUAAAUAAAUUUUACUAGAAAGAAUUUUAAACAAAACUUGGGUGAACUGUUUGUGUUUACCCUGGAACUUUUAAGCUUUUUUUUUUUUUUUAACAAAAAAGUACAUUUAAAUAUUUUGUGCAGAGUAGUCUUAAAACUACCUUGCAUCCAACAACAGUUUAUUCCCCAGUGGAGGCAAGGCACUAAGUUCUGGGUAGGAUGCAUAAAGAUUUCAUUUACAGUAUGUCUAAAAUUUUCAAUGUGCCGUUUAUGUUUGUAUAUUAUUCAUUGUAUGCUUUUCCAAAGAUAGAGUUUUAUAAAUGUUGUAAAGAUUUGGUAAGUUAUAAUUAACUGCUCCUUUCAAAUGUUUAUACGUGUGCCUUAUGGAAAAAGCUUAAUGAGAAUGUGUGACAGGUCUGUUUAAAGCUUGUUGAAUUUUAUUAAAAAGCUAUAUUUUAAACAGGUUUGUUUUUUUUUUUUUUACUUUCAUACUUAAAUACUUUUAA